rnacentral:misc_RNA from 1 species
GUGAGAUAGAGGUGUUCCUGAAACAAAUUUAAAUAAGCUUUCUUCUCAAGCUUCCCUUUAUGUGAUUUUAUCACCCAGACAAAACAUAUGUUGCAGAAGAGAGGAGACCCAUAAAAGUAACAGGGACAUAACUAGUGGAACUUGCUAUUGUGAUAACCAAGUAAAAGCUUCUAUUAUAGUUGAAUAAUAUCAUUUUUCUGAAGUCCCAUUUUCAGUGCCCUGCAAUCACU